AUGAUGAAAUGGCAGCCCCGGAAGAAGGCAUACUUCCGACAGGGUGUUGCCCUCCAGUACCUUGGACGUCAUGCCGAUGCCCUGGCAGCCUUUGCAUCUGGACUGGCUCAAGACCCCAAGAGUCUCCAGCUUCUGGUGGGGAUGGUGGAAGCCGCCAUGAAAUCUCCCAUGAGAGACUCCCUCGAGCCCACUUAUCAGCAGCUUCAGAAAAUGAAACUGGACAAGAGUCCCUUUGUGGUAGUGUCUGUGGUUGGGCAGGAACUUCUGACAGCUGGCCAUCAUGGGGCCUCCGUCGUUGUCUUAGAAGCCGCACUGAAGAUUGGCACCUGCAGCCUCAAAUUGAGAGGUUCUGUUUUCUCUGCCCUGAGCAGUGCUUACUGGUCUCUUGGAAAUACAGAGAAGAGCACCGGAUAUAUGCAGCAGGACUUGGAUGUAGCCAAGACCUUAGGUAGAGUGAUGCUUCUCUUCUCUAUUUCAGUGCAGAAAGGGAACAAAGAAAUCUGAGUAACAUGACAUGAAUGAGAAUAAUAUGCAAUGAAAAGUGGUGGCCUGGUUGCUCACAUUUGUAAUCCCAGUGCUUUGGGAGGAUUGCUUAAGGCCAAGAAUUUGAGACCACCCUGGGCAACAUAGUGAGAUCCUAAAAAAAAAAAAAAAAAAAAUAGCUGGGUAUGGUGUACCUGUGUCUUAGCUACUCUGGAGGCUGAGGUGGGAGGAUUGCUUGAGCCCAGGCAUUCAAGGUUACCCUUAGCUAUGAUAAUGCUACUGCACUCCAGC
rnacentral:lncRNA from 1 species